AUGGGGAUGCGAAGAGAUUUUUUUUUUUAUUUUCUUCCUACUCAUUUGCAUGAUAUUAGUUAUUUUUAUUAUUAGGUAUUGUGUUUUAUCAUUUGUUGCAUCAUACUUUUAUGAUUAUGAUAAACCCCAUAGAUUUGGAUAAUGAUUUUAGGGCCAUGAUGAGAUCAUGCCAGUGAGACCUAAAACAUCAUAUGUAUGCUCGAUGGAGAGGGUGAUUG
rnacentral:lncRNA from 1 species